AUGUUUGAGCCAUUCCCUUUAUGCUCCUCGAGAAUCUUCCUGGCAAACUUCUAUUCAUUCCUCAAAACCCAACUGGGGGAGAUGUCCCUCAUCCUGUGCCAGAGAAGGCCCUGGCCUUCCCCACCAUGCAGAGAGCCGCCCACCGGCCCCCGCAGCACGGGCUCCCAUCACCACCACAGGGCAAAACUGCCGUCAACCGCCAUGGGACCACAGGCUGCCACCUGCAGCCUGUGCUGUGGCUAAAAACACAGGCAGUUGUCCCCAGUGCUCCCCCUCUGGAGAAUGUGCCCAGGAGCGGAGGUGCAGCUGCCUGGGAACCAGGGUGUCUGUGGUUUUCCACCCCCCGCCCCCCAUUUCAACACCCAGGGGUGAGGCCACCCACUGUGUGCAGGGCUCAGGCACUCGGCUUCUGUGUAUGGCAGUGCCCAGCAGAUGACCCUCCUGGCAGGGCACACGCAUGGUAACCUGCCCUCCCUCCCUGGGCUCAGCCACUCUCCAGACCCACCCAGGAGAAAACAUCUGCAGGGAAGUGUAGAACAUUCCAGUAACUCACAAAUAACCCCCACGAUUAACCGGCAGCCAGUAAAGCAUGGUUCCCAGGGGCCAGCUGCUGCCCUCCACCCCAGUCCCCAACUGCGGAAAGAGCGUGGGAAGGCAAGGGGGUGGGCACCAGCAUCCCAGGCCAACGCCGGCACUCUGCUCCUAGCAACUAACCACCGGAGCCCACCUCACAAUGGAUGGUGACCAGCAGGUCAAGGUACCCAGCUGGCAACAGCUGAGCUGCGCCAGGGCUGGCACAGGGACAGCAGGAGGGGGACUGGCUCUCUUCCACAAAAACUCAAGUCCAGAGGCACACCCAGCCUAAGCCACUCCCAUCCCUUUUGAGUGGUUCUAGGAACCCAGUCAUGAUCUAAGAACAUCCAGAUCAUGGCCCACCAUGGGUGUUCAUGGCCUCCACCAGCACGGGGUGUGUGAUGGUGGCCCCCCUGGAUGCUUGUACAGGCUCUGAAGGCAACAGGGCCACCCAGACAAGUGUCUGGGGUAACAGAAUCAGGAUCAAUUGUCAACAGCACUUGGGAAAGCCUUGACCCCAAGGCUCCGUGUGCCUCCAACAGUGGAACAGGGCAGGAGCAGAAAGGAAGCAAGACACAGGCCCAGCAGAGAACGUGGAGGUGCACACGGUGCUUAGGGCAGAGGAAUGUGGACAAGUUCAUCCCGCCGGCCCUGUGCAGGGUGGUGUUCAGGUGGAAGCCCCUCGUCCUGCAAAUACAGCUUGGCCAGUCCACGCAUGGAGAAGAACAACCUGGGCUUAGGAUAUUUGUAGCAUUCAACGCCAGAUAUGAUGAUGUGGCCGAAUUUGAGCAUUUCAGCAGGCCACCCUUUCUGCAAGAACAAAGCGGAUGGACCAGCUGCUCAGCUGCGGCCUUGGCCAUAAAUCCUCAGGCACCAGCCUGGUCCACGCAGAUGCUCGGCUCUCUCCAGCCUCCUCGCUGGACCAUUAACUGUACACACAUCGGCUUCGGUCAACAUUGCCUUUUGUGACCUCUGGUCACUAAUUGUAAGUGACCCCAGGGGCUGAUAAAGGGAGGGCAGCAUCUCAGAACAUAUUUUCCUCUUCUGGUAGACUUAAGAGGGAAGCAGAGGCCAGGGACGCUGCUGUCCAGAGUCAUCAGACCGGUGAAACCUGGCCAGAGCCCCCACGAGUGGCCUGGGCCACGGGAUGCCAGCAGAAUGGAUCCUGACUUUCUGUUUUUAAAAUCAUCCAUGCUCAUGUCACUGGGCUCUCUCUCCUGGGGAUGGACCCCUGGGCCCCGGCAGACUGUAUCUGAGAAACUGGUUAUCUUCAAGCACCCAGAAACUUGGGCAUAAAAAGGCAUAUUCUAAAUAUUAACCCGAGCUUGCCCCCGGUUUUUGUGGGGACAGUAAAUGGGCCAAGAAAACUGAGGGUCCUGAGCCAAAUGAGGGGGAACCGUGCAGCUUGGAGCCAAGGCUCCACCACCAGGGGACACAGGGGCGA